rnacentral:rRNA from 1 species
ACCCGCUGAACUUAAGCAUAUCAAUAAGCGGAGGAAAAGAAACCAACAGGGAUUGCCCCAGUAACGGCGAGUGAAGCGGCAACAGCUCAAAUUUGAAAUCUGGCUCUCGGGCCCGAGUUGUAAUUUGUAGAGGAUGCUUUUGGUGAGGUGCCUUCCGAGUUCCCUGGAACGGGACGCCAUAGAGGGUGAGAGCCCCGUCUGGUUGGACGCCGAACCUCUGUAAAGCUCCUUCGACGAGUCGAGUAGUUUGGGAAUGCUGCUCUAAAUGGGAGGUAUAUGUCUUCUAAAGCUAAAUACCGGCCAGAGACCGAUAGCGCACAAGUAGAGUGAUCGAAAGAUGAAAAGAACUUUGAAAAGAGAGUUAAACAGUACGUGAAAUUGUUGAAAGGGAAGCGCUUGUGACCAGACUUGGGCUUGGUUGAUCAUCCGGGGUUCUCCCCGGUGCACUCUUCCGGCUCAGGCCAGCAUCAGUUCGCCCUGGGGGAUAAAGGCAUCGGGAACGUGGCUCUCUCCGGGGAGUGUUAUAGCCCGUUGCGUAAUACCCUGUGGCGGACUGAGGUUCGCGCAUUCGCAAGGAUGCUGGCGUAAUGGUCAUCAGUGACCCGUCUUGAAACACGGACCAAGGAGUCGUCUUCGUAUGCGAGUGUUCGGGUGUCAAACCCCUACGCGAAAUGAAAGUGAACGCAGGUGAGAGCUUCGGCGCAUCAUCGACCGAUCCUGAUGUUAUCGGAUGGAUUUGAGUAAGAGCAUACGGGGCCGGACCCGAAAGAAGUGAACUAUGCCUGUGUAGGGUGAAGCCAGAGGAAACUCUGGUGGAGGCUCGCAGCGGUUCUGACGUGCAAAUCGAUCGUCAAACAUGGGCAUGGGGGCGAAAGACUAAUCGAACCUUCUAGUAGCUGGUUUCCGCCGAAGUUUCCCUCAGGAUAGCAGUGUUGAACUCAGUUUUAUGAGGUAAAGCGAAUGAUUAGGGACUCGGGGGCGCUAUUUAGCCUUCAUCCAUUCUCAAACUUUAAAUAUGUAAGAAGCCCUUGUUGCUUAAUUGAACGUGGGCAUUCGAAUGAAUCAACACUAGUGGGCCAUUUUUGGUAAGCUCGUCUGGCG